rnacentral:lncRNA from 1 species
UUUUUCGAGGUGACUUCUAACUGGUGACCAGAAAAGAGUGGCUAGCGCCGGAGAAAGCGAGAUAGUUACAUAGAUCAGAGAAGGUUUGAGAUGAGCUUUUACAAUCUUUUAGCCCUGUGAGAUAUGGUUAGUCAUAGCCAUCAACCAUCCUCCUUGGGAUUGGCCCGAAGUAGGUGAAAGACGGUCUCUCGCUGAUUGUUCCGCCUGAACGGAGUGUCAGCGGUUCUGAAGAAGAAAAGGAAGAGAUAAGUUACUCCUACUAGAAAGGGACCUAGAAAAAUUAAUACGCUAUUACCUUCUUAGGCAAAGACAGAUUUCCAAGAGUAGAGAGCAUGAUUUACGGCUACAACC